UCGCGGGACGGCCUCGGCGCCGCCGCUGCUCCCGCUUCCCCACCGGGCCCGGGAGGGCCGCAGCCUCCCGCAGCACCGGUCCCGGCUCUGCGGAGCCGCUGACCUCCCCCGCCAGCUGCCUGCCGCAGCGCGUUUUCAGCCGGGCUGUUCCCACCCGAGGCGGGAGGCCCUUUCCCCUUCGUGCCGGCCUGCUUAGUCGACAUGGGGCCGCCCAGGCCAGUGCUGUAGUGGUGGCAGCCUGGUCAUCUGUACCUGCAGCGCUUCGUGCUUGCUUAUCUGCUGCUGCUGAGCUGGGGCCGGGUGCAGGCAGGUGCCUUACCACCGCAGGCAGGGAUUUACCAAAUUUGGGCUGUCGUCGGAAGUCAAGCAGUGGUGCUCAAGGAAGCUUUAUGCGUGUAUAUUGUACACCUGCCUUCUGGCUCAAACAAGGUUUAUGGCCCAAUGGAUUUACCAUAAAAGAAAGGACUGGCACAGGAGUUUGUUCAGGGAAUGAAAUUAUUUACAGGCAAUUAUUCAUCUGGAUUUUCAAACUAAUCCAGAGCAAAACUGCUCUGAAAGUAAAUACUGUUUGGGAUGUGUUUUCUGUUUUCUUUUCAAGAACUGUCAUUCUCCAGAACAGCAGUUUCUAAACAGAACCUCAUUUAACAUGCUGGAACUCUACAGGCUUCACUGCUAUUAGAAAAACAUGUACACACUGCUGAGCAUAUUAAAUGAAAGAAUAAUAUGCUAAACUUGCAGGUUAUUAGUUUCCAAUUUUUAAUUUACUUUAAUGUUUUCAAGCAAAAAAUAAGUGUGAAUUAAAUUCCUUAAAUGUUAAAGUAAUAGUAAGUAGCAUCUAAAUAGAAAACUAAAAAGAUAAAGCAUGUCUGGAAUAAUACUAUCUAAUUUUUAAUUUCAAUAUAUAUCUUGUUCAGCAUUUUAUUAAACACUUUUUCAUCACCAGUUGGCCUUUUAAGAUCACUACAGAGAAGAGAAGUAAAAAUAUAACCCUGAAAAGUACAGCCUUGCAUCAGGUUGCCGAAGUUGGCUUAUUUGAAAGCAAAGGUGUAGCUUGAGCCAGUGUAACCUAAUUGUAUUCCUAAACUGGCAAAAUAUUCUCAGUAAGGAUAUGUAACAUAAUACAGCUACAUGCCAUGAGGUCUCUUCUAGUCCCAAACUAAGCUGUGUGUUUAAAUAAUAUUAAAGCCAGUUACUCA